AGAGUUUGAUUCUGGCUCAGAACGAACGCUGGCAGCGUGGAUUAGGCAUGCAAGUCGAACGAGAAGCUUUAGGUUCAAUUCUUCGGAAAAGUUCCUGAAGUAGGCAGUGGCGAAAGGGUGAGUAACGCGUGAGCAAUCUACCCUUAAGUUCGGAACAACCAGGCGAAAGCCUGGCUAAUACCGGAUGUGGUCCCUUGGUAACAAGCCAAGGUGAUUAAAGGCGGGGAUCCUUCGGGACCUGUCGCUUAGGGAGGAGCUCGCGUCCUAUCAGCUUGUUGGUAAGGUAAUGGCUUACCAAGGCUUACGGGUAGCUGGUCUGAGAGGAUGGUCAGCCACACUGGGACUGAGACACUGCCCAGACUCCUACGGGAGGCUGCAGUCGAGGAUCAUUUACAAUGCACGAAAGUGUGAUAAUGCGACGCUGCGUGGAGGAUGAAGGCCUUAGGGUCGUAAACUCCUGUCAUGAGGGAAAAAUUGUUCACGUAUUAAUACUAUGUGGACGUGAUGGUACCUCAAGAGGAAGCCACGGCUAACUCUGUGCCAGCAGCCGCGGUAAUACAGAGGUGGCUAGCGUUGUUCGGAUUUACUGGGCGUAAAGGGUGCGUAGGUGGUACUGUGUGGUGGAUGUGAAAUCCCAUGGCUCAACCAUGGAACUGCAUCCAAAACUGCAGAACUAGAGUACAGGAGGGGAGAGCGGAAUUCUUGGUGUAGCGGUGAAAUGCGUUGAUAUCAAGAAGAACACCGGUGGCGAAGGCGGCUCUCUGGAAUGUUACUGACGCUGAGGCACGAAAGCUGGGGGAGCAAGCAGGAUUAGAUACCCUGGUAGUCCCAGCCGUAAACGGUGUCGACUUGGUGUGGGGGGAAUUGACCCCCCCCGUGCCGGAGCUAACGCGUUAAGUCGACCGCCUGGGGAGUACGGCCGCAAGGCUAAAACUCAAAGAAAUUGACGGGGGCCCGCACAAGCGGAGGAGCAUGUGGCUUAAUUCGAUGCAACGCGAAGAACCUUACCAGGGCUUGACAUGGCGACCCUUCGGGGGUGGAGGUGAAAGCCUCCUUUACGAUCACAGGUGCUGCAUGGCUGUCGUCAGUUCGUGCCGCGAGGUGUUUGGUUAAGUCCAGCAACGAACGCAACCCUUGUGGCUAGUUGCCACCGCAGGUGAUGAGCCUGCGAGCACUCUAGCCAGACUGCCCUUGUAAGAGGGAGGAAGGUGGGGACGACGUCAAGUCAGUAUGGCCCUUACGCCCUGGGCUGCACACGUGCUACAAUGGUCGGUACAGAGGGACGCAAUAUCGCGAGAUGGAGCAAAUCCCCAAAGCCGGCCCCAGUUCGGAUUGGAGUCUGAAACUCGACUCCAUGAAGUUGGAUUCGCUAGUAACGGCGUAUCAGCUACGACGCCGUGAAUGCGUUCCCGGGCCUUGUACACACCGCCCGUCACAUCAUGAAAGCCGUCUGCACCCGGAGUCGCUGAUCUAACCCGCAAGGGAGGAAGGCGCCGAAGGUGUGGGUGGUGAUUGGGAUGAAGUCGAAACAAGGUA
rnacentral:rRNA from 1 species